rnacentral:rRNA from 1 species
UACGUAGGGUGCGAGCGUUAAUCGGAAUUACUGGGCGUAAAGCGUGCGCAGGCGGUGAUGUAAGACCGAUGUGAAAUCCCAGGGCUUAACCUUGGAACUGCAUUUUUUAACUACCGGGCUAGAGUGUGUCAGAGGGGGGGUGGAAUUCCACGUGUAGCAGUGAAAUGCGUAGAGAUGUGGAGGAACACCGAUGGCGAAGGCAGCCCCCCUGGGUCGACACUGACGCUCAUGCACGAAAGCGUGGGGAGCAAACAGG